UACGAAGGGGACUAGCGUUGUUCGGAAUUACUGGGCGUAAAGCGCACGUAGGCGGAUUUGUUAGUCAGGGGUAAAAUCCCGGGGCUCAACCUCGGAACUGCCUUUGAUACUGCAAGUCUUGAGUCCGAUAGAGGUGGGUGGAAUUCCUAGUGUAGAGGUGAAAUUCGUAGAUAUUAGGAAGAACACCGGUGGCGAAGGCGGCCCACUGGAUCGGUACUGACGCUGAGGUGCGAAAGCGUGGGGAGCAAAC
rnacentral:rRNA from 1 species